GACGAACGCUGGCGGCGUGCUUAACACAUGCCAGUCGAACGGAAAGGCCCUGCUUUUGUGGGGUGCUCGAGUGGCGAACGGGUGAGUAACACGUGAGUAACCUGCCCUUGACUUUGGGAUAACUUCAGGAAACUGGGGCUAAUACCGGAUAGGAGCUCCUGCUGCAUGGUGGGGGUUGGAAAGUUUCGGCGGUUGGGGAUGGACUCGCGGCUUAUCAGCUUGUUGGUGGGGUAGUGGCUUACCAAGGCUUUGACGGGUAGCCGGCCUGAGAUGGUGACCGGCCACAUUGGGACUGAGAUACGGCCCAGACUCCUACGGGAGGCAGCAGUGGGGAAUAUUGCACAAUGGGCGGAAGCCUGAUGCAGCAACGCCGCGUGCGGGAUGACGGCCUUCGGGUUGUAAACCGCUUUCGCCUGUGACGAAGCGUGAGUGACGGUAAUGGGUAAAGAAGCACCGGCUAACUACGUG
rnacentral:rRNA from 1 species